rnacentral:lncRNA from 1 species
GUCCUUUCUGGUUAUUCCUUUCUUUUUCGCUUUCUCUCCAUUUCCCACAUUCAGUCUCCCUCUUCUCUUCUAUCCUGUCCCCUUUCGUUCAUAUGAGCACCUCCUUUGUUGGUAGCUUCUUAGAAGAAUGUCCUCUUUUCCACUCACCAGCUGUGGGUUGUAGUCCGGGAAGUGGGAAACUGGUAUCCACAUAUUGCUGAAGUAU